GACGAACGCUGGCGGCGUGCUUAACACAUGCAAGUCGAACGGAAAGGCGCUGCUUUUGUGGGGUGCUCGAGUGGCGAACGGGUGAGUAACACGUGAGUAUCCUGCCCUUGACUUUGGGAUAACUUCAGGAAACUGGGGCGAAUACCGGAUAGGAGCUCCUGCUGCAUGGUGGGGGUUGGAAAGAUUCGGCGGUUGGGGAUGGACUCGCGGCUUAUCAGCUUGUUGGUGGGGUAGUGGCCUACCAAGGCUUUGACGGGUAGCCGGCCUGAGAGGGUGGCCGGCCACAAUGGGACUGAGGUACGGCCCAGACUCCUACGGGGGGCAGCAGUGGGGAAUAUUACACAACGGUGGGAAGCCUGCUGCAACAACGCCGCGUGCGGGAUGACGGCCUUUUGGUUAUAAACCACUUUGGCCUGUAACGAAGCGUGAAUGACGGUAAUUGGUAAAGAAGCACCGGCUAACUACGUG
rnacentral:rRNA from 1 species